rnacentral:rRNA from 1 species
CUGCGGGAAUUGUAAUUUGAAGGUUUCGUGGUCUGAGUCGGCCGCGCCCAAGUCCAUUGGAACAUGGCGCCUGGGAGGGUGAGAGCCCCGUAUGGCGCACGCCGACUCUUUGCACCGCGGCUCCGACGAGUCGAGUUGUUUGGGAAUGCAGCUCUAAGUGGGUGGUAAAUUCCAUCUAAAGCUAAAUAUUGGCGAGAGACCGAUAGCGAACAAGUACAGUGAUGGAAAGAUGAAAAGCACUUUGAAAAGAGAGUGAAACAGCACGUGAAAUUGUUGAAAGGGAAGGGCUUGCAAGCAGACACGGUUUUACCGGGCCAGCGUCAAAUAAACGGGGGGGAAAAGGGGGAAAGAAUGUGGCGCGUGCCUUCGGGUUCGCGUGUUAUAGCUUUCUCUAAUACCCCCAUGUUUGUUUGAGGCCUGCGAUUCUAGGACGCUGGCGUAAUGGUUGCAAGCCGCCCGUCUUGAAACACGGACCAAGGAGUCUAACGUCUAUGCGAGUGUUUGGGUGCAAAACCCCAGCGCGGAAUGAAAGUAAGAGGUUGGAGCCGCAAGGCGCACAAUCGACCGACCCUGAAGUGCUCGGACGGGUUUGAGUAGGAGCAUAGCUGUUGGGACCCGAAAGAUGGUGAACUAUGCCUGGAUAGGGUGAAGCCAGAGGAAACUCUGGUGGAGGCUCGCAGCGGUUCUGACGUGCAAAUCGAUCGUCGAAUCUGGGUAUAGGGCGAAAGACUA